GCAAUACUGUAUUUGGCUUGAAUGUAAAAGAACUAAGAAAUAAGGAGCGGUGUAUUCAGAAUGCUACAGAUACGUCAUGGAUUCUUCAAAUGAAUGACACUGAAGCUGGAAUUUCUCAAAAUUAUCCUGUAAAAUGUCAGCAAGGCUGCCAGCAUUGCAAUGAUGAAUCCCUUCGACCAUAUCCUCCACAAGAGAUUACUUACAGAUCAACGACUGGAUCAGACUUGUGUGUCAGAUGGAAAGGAAAUGUGUCAACAAAUUAUACAAUGUAUUAUAGUCAAGGAAG